AUUGAACGCUGGCGGAAUGCUUUACACAUGCAAGUCGAGCGGCAGCGCGGGGCAACCUGGCGGCGAGCGGCGAACGGGUGAGUAACACAUCGGAACGUACCCAAUCGUGGGGGAUAACUAUCCGAAAGGAUAGCUAAUACCGCAUAAGUCCUGAGGGAGAAAGCGGGGGAUCGCAAGACCUCGCGCGGAUGGAGCGGCCGAUGUCGGAUUAGCUAGUUGGUGGGGUAAAGGCCCACCAAGGCGACGAUCCGUAGCUGGUCUGAGAGGACGACCAGCCACACUGGAACUGAGACACGGUCCAGACUCCUACGGGAGGCAGCAGUGGGGAAUUUUGGACAAUGGGGGCAACCCUGAUCCAGCCAUUCCGCGUGAGUGAAGAAGGCCUUCGGGUUGU
rnacentral:rRNA from 1 species